UAAUUAUUUCCAUUUUACAAAUAGGGAAACUGAGGUUGACAGGUUAGGUGGCAUAUCUCAGGUGACAGUAAAUGAGUAGGAGAUGUGGGGCUCAGAAUUCUGAGAGUUUUAUAAAAUCAUGAAAGAUAAUCAAAACACAGAUUGAGGGAACUCAGAGAACCCCUGACUGGGUAAAUUCCAGAAAGCAUAUGCAUGCACACACACACACACACACACACACACACACACACACAGGUAAAUCCUAGUUAACCUGCUGAGAAUCAAAGGAAAAGAGAAAAACCAUAAUGGCAUUCAGAGGGAAAAGACCAUUAAACAACAUCACACGUGAAAGCUUCCCAACUGUGGGUGUGAUGACUAGACGCCUCUCCGUCAGCACUGGCUUGUUUCUCCUUCUCCCUGCAUCACCGUCUGGCAGAUGCUGGACACAAGCAGGACAUUACACGGGAGAAAUGUUCUGGCCAGUGCAGGCCAUGCAGGAAGGCAACAGCAAGGAGACAGGGGCGGGUAUGGGUGGUGCCAGGUGAGAGUCGGGAGAGGGAGAGUGUUCUUUUCAGCCCUGUUGAUGGUAGCGGGUCUCAUGGUGCAGGAGUGUGUCGGGGUUAUUUUAAUCAAGCCCCUGUCAAGGUUGAUGCUGACACACAGUCUGAGGCCCCUGCCCUGUGUUACCCUGCCUUCUGCUGACGUCCAUCCCUUGAACGGACAAAUGGGAAGCUGCUGUGCUCACUUUGGCAAAGUGUUGGGGAGGCACAGCUGGUCCAGUUCCAGCCUUUCAUUGGAGGUUCCGUUCAGUGGCCUGUGCAGCUCCCAGCCCAGCAGAGCUGAGCUCUGCCUCCUCCUCAGAACCCCCUGUGAGCCCUGCCCAAGGACCUGGGCAGCAUUUCAGGGCUCCUCCUGCAACUUGUCCACGAUGAACUCACCUGCUUCAAAGGCGAGGAUCACCGUGUGAGUGCUCAACUAGGAACUCUACUGGGCUCUUUUCCCUCACUGAAAUCCUGGAAGCACCUGCCAUCGCCAUCUGCAUUUUACCAACGAGGAGCCUGAGGAUC
rnacentral:lncRNA from 1 species